AUUGAACGCUGGCGGCAGGCCUAACACAUGCAAGUCGAACGGUAGCACAGAGAGCUUGCUCUCGGGUGACGAGUGGCGGACGGGUGAGUAAUGUCUGGGAAACUGCCUGAUGGAGGGGGAUAACUACCGGAAACGGUAGCUAAUACCGCAUAACGUCGCAAGACCAAAGAGGGGGACCUUCGGGCCUCUUGCCAUCAGAUGUGCCCAGAUGGGAUUAGCUAGUAGGUGGGGUAACGGCUCACCUAGGCGACGAUCCCUAGCUGGUCUGAGAGGAUGACCAGCCACACUGGAACUGAGACACGGUCCAGACUCCUACGGGAGGCAGCAGUGGGGAAUAUUGCACAAUGGGCGCAAGCCUGAUGCAGCCAUGCCGCGUGUAUGAAGAAGGCCUUCGGGUUGUAAAGUACUUUCAGCGAGGAGGAAGGCGAUGCGGUUAAUAACCGUGUCGAUUGACGUUACUCGCAGAAGAAGCACCGGCUAACUCCGUGCCAGCAGCCGCCGCAGUAA
rnacentral:rRNA from 1 species